rnacentral:lncRNA from 1 species
CAGCAGCGUUCACCCUCAGCGUUGUGGUGUUUAAAACAACCUGAAGUGCGCCUUUCCGCUCCAGGAAUGAGAAAAAAGACUGACCUGCCUACCUUGGCCUUGA